rnacentral:rRNA from 1 species
CCUACGGGAGGCUGCAGUGAGGAAUAUUGGUCAAUGGGCGCGAGCCUGAACCAGCCAAGUCGCGUGAGGGAGGACGGCCCUACGGGUUGUAAACCUCUUUUGCCGGGGAGCAACUUGCGCCACGUGUGUCGUCACUGACAGUACCCGCCGAAACAGCAUCGGCUAACUACGUGCCAGCAGCCGCGGUAAUACGUAGGAUGCGAGCGUUCUCCGGAUUUAUUGGGUUUAAAGGGUGCGUAGGCGGCUCGUUAAGUCAGUGGUAAAAUUGAGGGGCUAAACCCCUUCCCGCCAUUGAAACUGGCGUGCUGGAGUGGAAGAGAGGUAAGCGGAAUGCGUGGUGUAGCGGUGAAAUGCAUAGAUA